rnacentral:rRNA from 1 species
GAUGAACGCUGGCGGCGUGCUUAACACAUGCAAGUCGAACGGAAAGGCCCUGCUUUUGUGGGGUGCUCGAGUGGCGAACGGGUGAGUAACACGUGAGUAACCUGCCCUUGACUUUGGGAUAACUUCAGGAAACUGGGGCUAAUACCGGAUAGGAGCUCCUGCUGCAGGGUGGGGGUUGGAAAGUUUCGGCGGUUGGGGAUGGACUCGCGGCUUAUCAGCUUGUUGGUGGGGUAGUGGCUUACCAAGGCUUUGACGGGUAGCCGGCCUGAGAGGGUGACCGGCCACAUUGGGACUGAGAGACGGCCCAGACUCCUACGGGAGGCAGCAGUGGGGAAUAUUGCACAAUGGGCGGAAGCCUGAUGCAGCAACGCCGCGUGCGGGAUGACGGCCUUCGGGUUGUAAACCGCUUUCGCCUGUGACGAAGCGUGAGUGACGGUAAUGGGUAAAGAAGCACCGGCUAACUACGUG